CUCGUCUGUUUCCCCUUUAUUCACAUGGGACACUCAGCUUGAAACCCUAGUUUCUUCAAAAGCGAGCAGUAUUCUUGAAUCAAACUCUCUGUAUUGAUUUUCGUAUAGGAAGAUGCUCAAGUUUGUAGGUAGAAAGAUCUUCAUCGGCAACUUGUCUGCUACGAGGAAGGCAAACUUUGUCAUCCCUGCAUAUGAAGAAAUAGAGCACAAAAGUACCACCUGUCGCAGAAUCCAUGUUUUGAGUUUGAGGACAACUACUUUCAAUCAACAUGAAGAGAAGAAUUAGGUAACUGUAAAAUUUUCUAAAAGAAAUGGUUGGACAAGGACAAAUACGAAGUACUCCAACUGUUCAGUGCUACUAACAAUCAAGUAAGAAGACAACAAAGAAGAGUUCAUCGAUGAAGGACAAUAAUAAAAAUGAUCCUGAUUAUGAAAUUAUUAGAACUGAUGUUUCAAGUUCUACUCAAACUAUCUUUAGGGAUCAAUGAGCUUGAAAGGAGCGGAAUAAAAUAUGAGUAAUAUCCAAAUGUUGCCUUCUUCUUCUAUUACUGGAAUAUAGUUAUUUAAUAUAAAGCAAGAAUAAUUGAGUUCUCAUUUAUAUUGGUCUUGGUUUCAAAAGCUUUCUUUCAAUUUUGCUUUUUCUCUUCUACAUAACUAGAAGUAAUGAUUAAUAUUUAUAUUUGUCUUUUGGUCUAAAGGUAGACUGUUUGACAUAUAUGUAUGCAUUUAAAGUCAAGUUGAAGGAAAAAGUAGAUAUAGAAGCUAAACUAUAGAUAUAUUGGCUUUUGUGGACCGGUCUUAGGUCUAAUUUUUAUCAAUCAUCUCUUAUAGACAAUCUAGCUAACAUUUUGGCUGCUAGUAUUAUAAAUCGUGAUCACCAACGUAAUGAGAAAGAUCACAUGUAAUAUAUACAAGUAAUCAUAUGAUUUGUGAUGAUUGAAAUAAUUUUAAUUUUUUCCGCUACGGGUAUACACAUACUAAGAAUUAAUUUUAAUUUUUGUUUGAUAUUUAAGUGAUGAUUGAAAAUUUUAUGACUUUCAAUUCUAUAUUACUAAUUUUGAUUUUCUUGAGUGUGUAUAUCACAUGCAUUAUUUAUGAGUUUCUCUGACAUAAUUUGCACUUAGAAGUAUAACAAUAUCAUAACUUCAAGAAGUAUAAUUUCACAUAUUAAAAAUGACGAUAAGUUGUACGAAAAAAAUUAUAAUAUAUGAAGUCAUAAAAUAUGAUUUAUAUUGAAAAAGUAAAAUGCUCUGAAGAGUAUCAAUCUUGGGAUGUGACACCCAGAGGAGGGUACCACUGCCUAACGUAUGAGAGAUCUUGAAUGUGGACAAUAUUUAUAUUGAAAAAGUAAGAAGAAUGUAGUACUAUUUCUGUAGAUUUUGUUGUUGGUGCUUUCAUCUAAAAUGUAGGCAAUAUGUUACUACUCGUGCAAUGUAUACACAAUAAUGAGAGAAGUAUGAUAAUAUAGUACAAACUCACCCAAAAUAGUUUACAAUUUAAUUUGCACAUUGAAGAAUUGAGAUAAUCACUGUAUCAAACAAAAAAUACGAGUGACGACUAAAACGAUGCCUCAACUUAGAAGUGUUGGUAAGUACUUUGAUGAGAAACAUGUUCAUACAAUGAUUUGGGUUGCUUAACUUAAUCCAUAAUGAUAACAAUAAAAGAUUUAAUAUUUUACACUUCAAGUGAUGCUUGUACGAUGAGUGAAGUAAUGAUGUUUAAACCACACGUGAUGCUUACGAGGGAAAAUAAAGCGAGAAAAAGCUUCCAAUAUUCUAGUGUAAGAAAAAAUGAAAAACAGAAUUAGUGUCAACUAUAGAGACUCCAUAGGGAUUCUCUAAGAAAAAUAAUCUAUCACAGUCCAAGAAAUUACCAUAUUUUUCGAAGCAUACUUCUUCUUUGGUAUAUAUGGUAAAAUUUCCAUACUAAUCUUUCUCCUUCUUUCACUAAGAUUGUCGCAAUUCUAAUAUCCUAAGAAAUACUUCUUUGCACUUAUAAUAUUUUUUAAUUUGAUUGACAGUCCCCUCAAGUACAAUGUGAAGGACUUGGCUCCUUCACGACAUAUAAUUCAAUCUCUAUAAGAUCUCUUUUACAGAUAAGUUAUUUUGUGUUCGAUAAAAAAAAUAGCUAAAUGAUAAAUGGAUUAUACCAUAUAUCCUUGAAUAAUGUAUAGGGAAGCUGAUGAGAGCUUAUGGAAAUACUGGGUGUCACAUUGCGUAUUUAGUUGAUUAUCUCUGUUUCUCUUUGAUACUUUAUUGUUCAAUCAGUAAUUAAAUAUGGUCGACUCCUUAAGAGUAUAUUAUUCUUUUUGAUUUACAAGAUAGGAUUUUUCUUAUAGAUAUUUCAUAUACCUUAUGCUAAGUGGGUUGAGCAGAUUUAUUUUCAUGCAUUUUUGUGUGCCAUAUAUUUUGCAUACAUAAUUAAUUUUCAUUUCACGAGAUGUAUAUAUUGAUGCUCUGAUAUGUACAAAGUUUAUGGCAUGAUGGAAAUGUUUUCGUUCAUAGUU